AAGUACUCGUUUUGAAUGUUGAUUACUUAGCUACGUUCUACUGAAUUUGGUGUUGCUCCAUCAUUCCUAGGGGUGGGAUUUUUUCAACAACAACUAAUUCUACUACUAUGCCUCAAUCGUAAGUUAGCUUUGAUCUGCUAUAUGAAUUCUCAACAUCCAUUUUACUCCAGUUGGACUUGUUACAUUCCGAUAAUCCACGAUUUAGAAUUCGCUGAUACUAGAGCCUAGAGGUCCUUUGUAUUUUCUAUUGACAUUAUAGAUCUUAAAAUAGACUAAGAAGAUUCCCAGCAAACACUGUAUUUGAUGUAAAUAUACAUACAUGACUAAACAUUAUCCCGACUAGCUAGUAUUGUCUAGAUCGCCUAGUAUUUCCUUUUUCAUUGUGUUCUGUUUUUUGCCAAGUUUUUAUGGAAUUCCAAUUUGCGAGAGAUUGUAGGUCUUUUGAGACAGCUUCGUUGUAUUUUGUUUUAGCCUUUUAGGUAUACCCAUCCCCUUUUUAACACCUUCUAGUGUCAUUUGUUAUACCUUCUGACUCAUACAUUUGUAGGUCUUCACAAGGCAUGAGC
rnacentral:lncRNA from 1 species